UACGUAGGGUGCGAGCGUUGUCCGGAAUUACUGGGCGUAAAGAGCUCGUAGGCGGUCUGUCGCGUCUGCUGUGAAAACCUAGGGCUUAACUCUGGGCGUGCAGUGGGUACGGGCAGGCUAGAGUCCGGUAGGGGCCCACGGAAUUCCUGGUGUAGCGGUGAAAUGCGCAGAUAUCAGGAGGAACACCGGUGGCGAAGGCGGUGGGCUGGGCCGGCACUGACGCUGAGGAGCGAAAGCGUGGGGAGCGAACAGG
rnacentral:rRNA from 1 species